GGCGUGGUAAAGAUAUGCAAGUCGAGCGCUGCUUAUUGUGUAGCAAUACAUGGUAAGCGGAGCGGCGCAAGGGUGCGUAACACGUGGCUAAUUUACCAUAAAGUUGGGGAUAACUCGCUGAAAGGCGAGCUAAUACCGAAUGUGACUACUUGGAGGCAUCUCUGGAUACUCAAAGUUGGGGAUCGUAAGACCUGACGCUUUAUGAUGGGCCCGCGGCCUAUCAGCUAGUUGGUGAGGUAACGGCUCACCAAGGCUAAGACGGGUAGCUGGUCUGAGAGGACGACCAGCCACACUGGAACUGAGACACGGUCC
rnacentral:rRNA from 1 species